rnacentral:tRNA from 1 species
UCCCCAGUGGCUCAGACGGUAAAGCGUCUGCCUACAAUGCAGGAGACCUGGGUUCAGUCCCUGGGUCGGGAA